rnacentral:rRNA from 1 species
AAUAGAUACCCAGGUAGUCCACGCCGUAAACGAUGGAUACUAGCUGUUUGGUAGUAAUACUGAGUGGCUAAGCGAAAGUGAUAAGUAUCCCACCUGGGGAGUACGGGCGCAAGCCUGAAACUCAAAGGAAUUGACGGGGGCCCGCACAAGCGGUGGAGCAUGUGGUUUAAUUCGAUGAUACGCGAGGAACCUUACCAGGGCUUAAAUGUAGUUUGACGUUAUUGGAAACAGUAAUUUCUUCGGACAAAUUACAAGGUGCUGCAUGGUUGUCGUCAGCUCGUGCCGUGAGGUGUCAGGUUAAGUCCUAUAACGAGCGCAACCCCUGUUGUUAGUUGCCAGCGAGUAAUGUCGGGAACUCUAGCAAGACUGCCAGUGUAAACUGCGAGGAAGGUGGGGAUGACGUCAAAUCAUCACGGCCCUUACGUCCUGGGCCACACACGUGCUACAAUGGCCGGUACAGAGAGCAGCCACUAUGCGAAUAGGAGCGAAUCUAUAAAGCCGGUCACAGUUCGGAUCGGAGU